rnacentral:rRNA from 1 species
GACGGAGGAUGCAAGUGUUAUCCGGAAUCACUGGGCGUAAAGCGUCUGUAGGUGGUCAAAUAAGUCAACUGUUAAAUCUUGAGGCUCAACCUCAAAAUCGCAGUCGAAACUAUUAGACUAGAGUAUAGUAGGGGUAAAGGGAAUUUCCAGUGGAGCGGUGAAAUGCGUAGAGAUUGGAAAGAACACCGAUGGCGAAGGCACUUUACUGGGCUAUUACUAACACUCAGAGACGAAGCUAGGGUAGCAAAUGGG